GUUCUUUCCCACUCUCAAAUUUUUCAUUUCUCAAAUGUCCAAAUAAUAAUACUCUCAGUUUUUUUUUUUUAAAAAAAAUCUUUUGAUAUAUGUUCUUCUUCUACCAACAACACAAGCUUAUCUCUGAUCUCCUCCUCAUUCCCCGACCGACUACCAUAGAGACUCAGAGUCAUCACGACAUCUCCUCAUUCCCCGACCGACUACCAUAGAGACUCAGAGUCAUCACGACAUCUCCUCAUUCCCCGACCGACUACCAUAGAGACUCAGAGUCAUCACGACAUCUCCUCAUUCCCCGACCGACUACCAUAGAGACUCAGAGUCAUCACGACAUCACCCUACAAGAUGUAUAUCAAGAACACAAAUGCAAAAGGAUUGUGUAGAGAAAAGGCCAAAAUGGGACAAGUGGUCCAAUCCGAUCCCUCACAUUCAAGAUCCUUUGAGAAGUGCAGACGGAGAAAUGAUGGAGAACGCUAUAAGGAACAGAGAAUCUUGCGAACGUGCCAUAUUUUUUGGUUGAGUGUGGUUGUGUGUGACCGAAUGCUUGUAAUAUUUAUGUGAUGAUUUAGAUGCAUGUGUAGGGUGCACGUGUGACGUAUGUAUGUGUAGUAUAACUGACGGCUGGUAAAAAAUGUAUAGGCAUGGUGUGUGACGUACGCUUGUUGUAUAGAUGAAACCAAAAUGUCUAGGGUAUUAUGGACUUGGAUGAUGUAGAUGAAUGUGUAGGAUGUGGAUGUAUGCGGACUUGGAUGGUGUAGAUGAAUGUGUAGGAUGUGGAUGUAUGCUUGUAUAAAUUAGAUGAAUUUAGGAUGUGGUUGCUUGUAUAGAUGAGAUGAAUUUAGGAUGUGGUUGCUUGUAUAGAUUAGAUGAAUGUUUAGGAUGUGGUUGCUUGUAUAAAUUAGAUGAAUGUUUAGGAUGUGGUUGCUUUGUAUAAUUAGAUGCAUGUUUAGGAUGUGGAUGUAUGCUUGUACAGAUUAGAUGAAUGUUUAGGAUGUGGAUGUGUAUGCUUGUAUAGAUUAGAUGAAUGUGUACAGAUUAGAUGAAUGUUUAGGAUGUGGAUGUGUAUGCUUGUAUAGAUUAGAUGAAUGUUUAGAAUGUGGAUGUAUGCUUGUAUAUAUUAGAUGAAUGUUUAGAAUGUGGUUGCUUUGUAGAUUAGAUGAAUGUUUAGAAUGUGGAUGUGUAUGUGCUUGUAUAAAAUUAGAUGAAUGUUUAGGAUGUGGAUGUAUGUAUGCUUUUGUAUAAAUUAGAUGAAUAGGAUGUGGAUUUGUAUGCUUGUAUAGUAGAAUGCUUAGGAUGUGUGAAUACUUUGUAUAGAUUAGAUGAAUGUGUAGGAUGGAUGUAUGUUUAGGAUGUGGAUGCUUUUUUGUAUAUAAUUAAUAAAUUAGAAGAAUGCGGAGGAUGGCAUAAAACAAAUGUGGCCUGUAUAAAAAGUAGGUGAAUGUGUAGGAUAUGAAUGUACGUGGAGCAUGCGGAUGUGGAUGUAUGAGUUUUUAUAAACUUAUGUGACAAGUUGUGGAACUCAAUUUGCAAAUCCAGUAGUUUUAAUUUGUUACGUUCCUGUUCACUUUGUUUUUACAUCGCUAAGUCAGUUUGAGCGACUAAAAAUAAAACCUUUCACACUGAGAUCAAACAAAAAAUAUAUACCAAAACCAAGCAAAUUUGAAUCAUCUACUGUUUCGUAGAAGUCAAGCUUAGUACGUACGUACGUAUAGACAGCCUAUAGACAUGGUAUUAGAAAGGGAAAAACUUCAUCGAAAGACU